AAAUGUGACCCUCUACUUUAAUGAUACCUCUCCAUCAACUAAAAGAAAACUUUAUUUCAACGUUGGGAACAAUGAGGGUCAUCAUCUUUUGCUCAUCCACGUUAUUCCAAGUUUAGAGUUCUCUUUACAAUGGCUAGGCAGAGUGGUCCUUCGCUGUUGAAGUGUGAUAACAACCAUAUUUAUAUGUCAAGGUACGAUUUCAAAUGGCAUCCCAUUCAACUAUUGAUUUCUGAUUUAGAUCUACAGCAUUCAUGUCUCAACCAAUUAAAUUAAGUUAUCAUUAGAUUGGUUAUUCAAAUUUAAAUUCUUAAUUAAGUUCAUCUCGUUUUCAGAAGUUUUGCCUUAAACGACCGAGUUUGAUUAGCAUUGUUAUGAAUUUGCUUUGAUAAGUAAUUAAUAACCUCCCUGUCUUUUCUCUCUAAUUAGAUGGACUCGGUGUGACAUACAAGUAUCUUUUUUGUUUUCUAUUUUCUAUUUUUUUUUAGGUUAAGGUUCACUUUUUUUUUCCUUUUUUUUUUUAAGUCUAUAAUGUAGUUGCCUUUUAUUCUACUUCUUUGUUUAUGUAUUUGUUUAAGGUGCAUGAUUUGACGUGGAUUGCCACUAUUAUUAAAAUUAGUACAUUACUUUUAGAAACUAUUUUUAUGUUAUUGUGUUGUGCAUAUGUUCCGGUGAGGGUGGUCCAAAUAAUGUCCAAACCCACAAGUAGGUCUAAGCCUAAGACGGGUAGAUCUAAGCCUAAGACAUCGCACAUUCUAUUAGAGAAAGUCAAACUCCCGUGUUCUAGGUCUACCAAUCAAGCUCGAGGAGUUUCAUCAAAGGAGAAAUGAUCGAGUUUUGAGCCUGGCAUUGACACCUUGCAACCUCGAGGCUUAACACCCUUUUCGAUACCGUCAACAUUACAUGUACGUAGUCCUAGCUAGGUGCAUGGGUGUUAUAGACAAAUCCUUAUAGAUAGCACAUGCCUUGAGGUAAGUAUAAUUGUCUCUAUGGAAAAAUCUCUCUCCGUGCUUAACUAAACUAAUAUUCAUGUACUAACUUAAGCAUCGGAGUGUGCUUGACUCAGUAACAUACUAGCAUGAGAAUUCUCACCAUGUUAGUUUAUAGACAAGUUUGAACUAGAGGUAUAGUACCCAGCUAGGACCCGUGCAUGAGUUUUGUGUGUCACAUGUUCCACCUAAUUAUUUCCUUCAAACUAGUUAUACAUAGAUACUUGUAUAUAUACACACAUAUUUAGAUUUGGGCAUUGGAUGGAAUAUUGAGUUAAAAAUUAAUUCUAAGAAUGUGAUAGGUUUGAUUUUAUUGUUGAUUUACCACAAAUAUAUGUAAUUUAUGAAUAGAGUUUAAUUGUCGAGGUAAGCUUUAGCUCAAUGGUAAUUGGCAUAACCUUACAUCUUAGAGGUGUGAGGUUUGAUCUUCUACCUUUACAGUUGUCAGAAAAGGACUUUAAUUAGUCGCACAUCAAGAUCUCUAUUUGAUUUUUUAAAAAACUAAAACAUCGUGCAUAAAACUAGGAAAGUUACAGCAACCUAGAUUUUUCUACAAUCUUUUGAAUCAGAAGAGACAAAAACAUCAAACAAACAAGAGAGACUAUCAACUUGGCGAGCUAACAAAUGAGCCACAGGACUCUUCUCAUGAAGACACAAAGAGAAAGAGACAUUUUCUAAGUAUUUUGCCAAUGCACUGAUUCUAUCAGUGAAAUUCUUUUACUCCAGUAUUAUUCGAUGAGCAGUUGUUAAUAACUAAUUACAUGAAGAUUACAUUGAUGAGUAAUAUUUUAUAUCAAUGGGUUUGGAUAGAGAAGAAUACAUGAUGAAUAAUAUUUUAUAUCAAUGGGUCUGGACAGAGAAGAAUAAGGUGUCUUCACUUCUUUACUCAGAAUUGGGAAGAUAAAUUUUUUUCAGUUUCGAGUAUUUGGGUGCAUAGAUUAAUACAAACAUAUAUUACUUCUUUUGUUUCGACACUUAUACAAUUAUGACUAUGAAGUCAAUUGAGAAGGUAAAGUUGAGGGCGGGUCAAGAGUCAAGUGGAAAAAGGAUAUCAUUUUUGGUAGGAUAGAAAAAUAGAGCAUUUGGAUCAAAGAAAAGAACGUCCGAACUUUUCGGUAUUGGGAGAAUCCGUAGGAUAAUCAUUCAAAUAAUUUAGGUAGAAGAAGAGAGAGAGAGAGAGAGAGAGAAAGAGAAAAAAAGAAAGAAAGAAAGAAAGAAAGGCGGUUUUAGAAUUUGCGAAGCCACGAAACGAAGCUCAUUAAUUAGUAGGUCACAUUAUUGGUUUGUUAAGGAAAAAUAUAUCUGUAAAUGAGACGAAACACGUGGGGUCAUGUGCCAUUUCCACUACAUAUAUAUAUAUUUAUGGACUAAUGAAUGUGUUGUGUUGGACAUUUGAGUGUAUAGAUAUAGGUUCCAGCUGGUUUUGUUGUGGAGAUUCCGUUCUUCAUUCGGCCUCUAAACGGACCCCACUCUUAGCAAUCAUCAACCACGUAACUCCUCUAUCUUUCUGCUUCUCUCAUUCAUCUGUGAUCAGUGGUAGAGGUAAGAUAAAACAAAUCUUUGUAUUAUUGUGGUUGUCUUAAACAUUUCAUUUCAUAAGUAAUUAUUUAUGUCUCAUGUAAAAAACCAUCUACAUAAAUCUCCUUUAUUGUUUUAUUGUCUACUUUUUCUAUCAUCAACAUUUUCUCACCAAACCAAAAUUUGAAAACUAAAAUGAGAAGAAAUAACUUUAAAAAUGAUAAGAGCAAAUAAGUAAAAUUUUUAAAUAUCUAUAUAUAUAAAAAGUAAAUAUACUAAAAACACCAAACAUGCAUGGGAAAGUUAACUUUAUGGAGUCUCUUUUACUUUUGCUUUGGUAAGAGCUUUAGUGUAAGAUUAUAAAGUGGAAGUUCAAAAUAUAGGCAUGAGUAAUCAUGCAUAGAAGUGUGUGUUUAUGGUGUAGAUAUAGAUUAUUAUUACUAGCCAAAAGGAGAAUUGAUUAGAUGACGGAACUUAAUUGGUGAAAUAAGACUAUAGAAGAGAGUAUAGACCAAGCUUUCUAAAGAGAUCAAAAAAUCCAUGACGGUUGUUUUUCAGAUAUAAUGCCUUUCUUUAGGUAGACCUUUCCUUUGCCAUUGUUAAUUUCUUUAUAAAAUAUUAUAUGCAAGUGGAGAAGUGGGUACCAAACUUGUCGUUUUCCCACUCUAAUUAAGACUCACUUAAUUACUUGUCUUUUGUAUGUAGGGGAAAAUAAUUCAUGCAUUUGGCUACUUUACACUGUUUGUUACAAAUUUUUUUUUUGGAGUUAACAUACAAGACUAAUAACAUUUUUUUAUUCAAGAAAAGAAACUGAAUAUUUAUAAAAAUAUUAAAGCAUAAAUUAAAUGUGUAGACUAAUUUUGAGAUAUAUCAGAAGUAUAGGAAUCUAUUGGAUUAUAUAUUUGUUUAUUCAGUAUAUUUGGCUGAUUUGAUUCCAUAAGAUAAACUAGAAUCUUGUUUCUGUAGCAUAUUUCGUGUUAUAUGCAGAAUCAACAAAAUGCAUAAUCGAUUAUUUGUUUGAUGUUGAUACCAUAUGGUGCAUACUUGAUGGGUGAUCACUUCCUUUCUUAUUCGACAUAUCUUGCAAAAUGUUAGAAUGUUGUCAAGGACAUUGCGACGUGAAAGACAAUAGAUUCUUCAUAAUUUUUUUUCUUCGUCAGAGGAAUUCUGUAGAUUUCGUGGCCUAGAUUUUUUUUUCUUGCAAAGUUCAUUUAUUCUUUCCUUGAAAUCCUUUACAAACCUACUCUUAUAUAGAGAGAGAGGUUAUGUUCAUUGGUUAGGACUGUGUUGACAAUCUCAUUGUCAAAAGAAGAAUGUUGACAAUCUCGACAUCGGUAGUCAAAAUAAAGACAUCUUUCCAUUGCAGAGAAAGUCAUGACUAUCAGUCACAAAUGCUCCAAUAUCUUUAAUUGAAAAAAUAAGAGCGCCAUGUUCUAACUUUAUCUAAUGAAAACUCUGAAGAUUAAUCUGAAGACGAAAUCAGAGCCCUUGCUAGUUGGAUUAUCGAAGACAUUCAUCUUUGCAAAAUUCAGGAAAAAAGAAGGAAAGUAGUGAAGAAGAAGAAGAUAUGCCUGAAUUGAUUGAAAAAUCUUACCGAAUGUGAUACAUCAACAAUGGCUCGAGAACAUAAAAGUAUCGGAUUUUUAGAAAGAAAGAAUUGAGACUCUUCCUGCUGACGAUCAAAUUCUGUCUCUGAGCUUAAACGCAAGCUAAAAAAGAAUUGAAAUAUGUGCAUAAUUCAUUCAUUACUUAUGUGUUAAGUGUUGAUUUUUUACCAGCAGGACAGCAACAAUCGAAAUCUGCGUUUAAUUAGAUGCUCAAAUUGAUCAAGAAUCAAUUUGUAGAGUAUUGAGAUUCUUAGUAGGAAUUUGGGUACAAGCAAUUCAAAGAAAACGAGUAGGAAGAAGAGUAAUUAAGUCCUUCUAAACAAGAGCAAACGUGUGAUGUAGUUGUCAACAUAUAUAAGAGUAUAGCGUAUAAAUCUUAGUAGUAUACCUUAAAAACAAGCAAAAGA